UUUGCUGAAGCCACUGUGCCGCCACUGGACCCCGCCUGGAUGCAGCCCACCAUCCGCGGACCAGUGCCGGUACCACCCCGACCCCUCCCUGUCCCCGCUGCUGUGGGGACACAUCCCCUCCCCUGCCUGGUGCCCCAGGCCUCUGUCUGGCCUGGGGUGCCAGGCAUCCAGGGGCAGGUAGUGCAGCUCCCACCUGGCGGGCUGCUCCUACCUAGGGGCCAGCUGCACCCUGGUACGGCUCCUCCCUGUGUCCCCGUCCACCGCUGGGGACGUCCCCCGCUGGCGGGGAUGCUGCUGCCCCAGCAGCCAACGGGACUGGGGCCCGGGGCUGCGUUCCAUGCGGAGCCCCUGCAGCCCGCAGGCACCUGCCUGCUGCAGGCCCCCGGCCGCCCCGGCCCCCCGCCAGCUGUUUUUCAGGUGCCUGCACACCAGGGCCAGGUGCUCCCUGUGCCCUGCACCCUGCCUGGCAGCUGGCACCUGCUGAUGGAGCCUUGUGAAGACACCGUGGUGCUCAGGGAGGAUCGGGGGCACCCAGCGCCCACCAUCAGAUGCCCUCGGACAGAAACAGCUCCACUCACAUGCAGCACCACGACUCUGGAACCUGAUGCGAUGAGCAGCUCCGACGUGCCAGAUGACAUCGUGGACAUGGAGGCUCUGCUCACCUGGAGCAAUGAUGUGCCGAGGGCUGUCGAGGUUCCCCAGGAGAACCCCGGCAGCCCUGCUUCCCCUUGUUUCAUCGCUGAGCUCCCUGACAACCCCAGCGACAGCAGAGAGCUCAGCACGGAGGGACAGGCUGCCACCAGGACCCCCAGUGACCCCUUCUGGGGGCUUCCACCAUCCCCUGGGCUCCUGCCUGAGAUGCAGCAUGGGUUGGCGCCGCUGCCCCUCGUCGUGCCACCAGCAAAUCCCCGGCCGGCCCCCCUGGUUGUCACCAAACCUCCUUCACCCCUCACAGCACAGCCCAUGGAGGAGGUGCAGAAAAGGCAGCCCCAGGGGGUUCAGACCCACCCGCCAGCGUCACCGGGCUCUGUCCCCUGCCGGGCGGCGGGCAAGAAACGCAAGGGCAGCACCAAGCGGGCCAAGCACCCUGCGCCUGCCAGCACCCCCCAGAAAGGGGAGACCUCCAGCCACAAGCAGCCCACCAGUGGAGCCCCAGUCAAGAAACGAAAGCUGCCACCACGGAAGGAGAGAAAAGGCUGCAAACACCCACGUGGAGCGAAGCUGGCUGGGGUCAGCGCAGGAGCCAGCAGCAGCAGACAAGCGGGCACCUCCAGCGAGCUGCGCAGACACUUGCUAGAAUCCAUCCAGGCCCUACACCCGCUGGGGCAGAGGGUGACUGUGGUGGGGCCGGUACGCCAGCCACCCUCUGAGCAGCCCCAACCCACACCCAGCGCUGGGCCUGCUGCCCUCCAGCCCCGAGACAGCGGCACGGACAAGGCAG
rnacentral:lncRNA from 1 species